rnacentral:rRNA from 1 species
ACUGCUCAGUAACACGUGGAUAACCUGCCCUUGGGUCCGGCAUAACCCCGGGAAACUGGGGAUAAUUCCGGAUAACGCACAUAUGCUGGAAUGCUUUAUGCGUCAAAUGGAUUCGUCUGCCCAAGGAUGGGUCUGCGGCCUAUCAGGUAGUAGUGGGUGUAAUGUACCUACUAGCCGACGACGGGUACGGGUUGUGAGAGCAAGAGCCCGGAGAUGGAUUCUGAGACAUGAAUCCAGGCCCUACGGGGCGCAGCAGGCGCGAAAACUUUACAAUGCGGGAAACCGUGAUAAGGGGACACCGAGUGCCAGCAUCAUAUGCUGGCUGUCCGGGUGUGUAAAAUACACCUGUUAGCAAGGGCCGGGCAAGACCGGUGCCAGCCGCCGCGGUAACACCGGCGGCCCGAGUGGUGAUCGUGAUUAUUGGGUCUAAAGGGUCCGUAGCCGGUUUGGUCAGUCCUCCGGGAAAUCUGACGGCUUAACCGUUAGGCUUUCGGAGGAUACUGCCAGGCUUGGAACCGGGAGAGGUAAGGGGUACUACAGGGGUAGGAGUGAAAUCUUGUAAUCCCUGUGGGACCACCUGUGGCGAAGGCGUCUUACCAGAACGGGUUCGACGGUGAGGGACGAAAGCUGGGGGCACGAACCGGAUUAGAUACCCGGGUAGUCCCAGCCGUAAACGAUGCUCGCUAGGUGUCAGGCAUGGCGCGACCGUGUCUGGUGCCGCAGGGAAGCCGUGAAGCGAGCCACCUGGGAAGUACGGCCGCAAGGCUGAAACUUAAAGGAAUUGGCGGGGGAGCAC